CCCAGGAGUGAUGAUUGAGCAUUUUCAUUAGCUGACUCAGUGCAACAACCAGGAGCCCUGUUAAACAUCUGAAAUGCAGCCUAGGGGCUGAAGAACUAGGUUCCACGUUGAUGGGAUUAGUGAAGGUGUUGGUUCUGGGAACUGAAUGGUGAAGUCUUCUGUGACUCUCCCACCAAAGAGGGUCUGAAGUCCUGAAUCCUGGUGAAUUCACUUACAUGACUUAAGAUAUCAAUUCUCCUGCCUGCUACCUACUGCCUGCUCCCUACUGCCAUGCCUGCUCCUUUCAGCCAUCACUGCCGAAAACACUGAUGGCCCUGGGAGGUCCUACUAAGCCUUGUGACCAUUGAGCAACAGGCUCAGGCUUCCCGUCACCUCCCGGAACUUCUGCCUUUGUCUGGAAAAAAUGCUAACCAGCUCCUUACAAGAGCUGUCAGUGAAGCCCCGGCCAGAGGGCCCACAAAGAC